UGGGGCUACUUACUGCUAGAGAGGCCCGCUUGGGCCGAACAAUCACAUGGGGGCUCUCCCUCCAUCCUGCGCCUGCGCGGCCCCUCUGUCUCGUCACUUCCGGCCCGGGCCUCCCAGCUGGAAGCGGCUGCGGCGGUGGCGGUGUCUGAAACUGGGCGAGCAGUUGCCCUUCCAGAGAUUCCCAACAUCAGAUUGAAACCAAAAAGGAGACCCAGGCAUUUGAGUUGAGUGAUUGGAUCAGACACCCCCAGCUAUGACCAGUUCCCCUGUAUCUAGAGUUGUCUACAAUGGCAAAAGGAAUAGUAGUCCCCGGUCUCCAAGCAACAGCAAUGAGAUCUUUACCCCAGCUCAUGAAGAGAACGUUCGCUUCAUUUAUGAAGCAUGGCAGUGUGUGGAACGAGAUCUCCGGAACCAGAUGUCUGGCAGUGAACGAGGCCUGGUGGAGGAGUAUGUGGAAAAGGUUCCUAACCCCAGCCUGAAGACUUUCAAACCUUUUGACUUGAGUGACCUGAAACGCCGGAACACACAAGAUGCCAAGAAGUCCUAAGGGCAGUGGCCUGGCCGCUCCCUUCCUCCCCAUGGCCUCUGGAAGAUUGAAAGUUGCAGAAUUUAUGUUGGUUUUUCUCCCUCUCCUCUGGGCCCAUCUCCCUGGCAGGGCAAGUAAAGGGCCAUGCUCAUGUUGGGCUGAGUACCUGCAAGGAUGGACUUGAUUGACACUCAAGGCCCUCCCUCCCCUUCUCCUCCUUCCUUUUUCUUUAGGGAGGUUCCAAGUUGUUACUGUGACUUGGGGGACUUGGCCCCUGUCACCACCCAUCCUCUCAUACUCUAACCUGUGUGUCUCUGGAGUUGCCUGUCUCUGUCUGCCCUCCAAGCAGCCUAGGGCCCUCAUUUUCCCUUUUUGGCUUUUAGAUGCCAAGGCAGCUGAGCAUGGCAACCCUCCCAUCUCUUCCUGUACUUCUGAGAUAAGGUGGAAGGAGCAGGGGACAUCUGGGGGGGCCUGGGACCAGUGGGAGUUGAAUCAAAUUAGUUCUCUAAGGUGGUGAGGUGGGAGCUCCAUCCUCCCACAACUUGGUUCCACUGUAAACAUCUGCUAUUGCCUCUGUCUUGGGCGAGCUGGGAAAUCUCCAUUCUUCCUUUCCCAGGUGUUCAACUGAGCCUCUUUCCCUGCUUUCCAAACCCUUUUGGCCCCAGCUCCCUCAUGCCUGGGUAGCCCUCUAGGACCCAUUCCCCACAGGGUUAUCAGGCAGCCAUGCCAAGUGUCUCCUAAAUCAGCAGCCUCUCUCCCUUAGGAGCCCCACACCCUGAGGCUCAGUGGCUGCUAUUGUUCCCUGGUCUAUCCUAUUCCCAGCUGGUAGUUUUACUGAGAGGGUUACCAGUAGUUCCCUUUUUUCUUUUUGUUACAGUUUGAGAGCUGAGUUGUUUGCCAUUACUCUGUAGCCUGAGGAGCUGUAAAUAAAGAUGGGGUUAGGCGUUUGGAAUGUGCCUCUGGCUGAGUUUGUAGCCCCCUAUAGCCAAGUUGGUCAGGCCUGAUAUUGUUUCAAGGGCCCACUCAAUACUAGUACCUUGAGUAUCAGGCCAUUUUUCCUCCUAGGCCUUGGGAUGGGCUUCCAGCAUGAGACCUGAACAGGUGGUAGAAAGAAUCUUUUACAAUUUUAUCUUAUGUGUCAAGAAUAUAUUGUCUUUCUUAGGGCUUUGGAUUUGAUAAAAAUGAAAUUAGAGGUUAUGAGCAAGAUCAUGAGAGUCCAGAUAUUAUGGGAUGUCAUUAAUAUAUGCUCAAAGAGCUUUCCUAACAAAGGAAUUGUGAAAAUUUCUCUGCUCCCAUGAUAUUUAUUGGCUUGACUUUUCAUUAGAAGGCACUGGAUCUGAGAGCCUGCCUCUCCUGGUCAGUAGUGACCCCUGCUCUGGCUCAAACAGUGGCAGAAUUCCUUUCAAUAGUACCAGCUUCUCUAUUAGGCCCAGUUUGGUUUCUGUGAUUUAUCUCAUUCCCUCCUGACCCUAUUGUACCACACUUAGUUUAGUAGAAUAGUCUCCAGUCUUUAUGGGAUAUGGUGCUCUUGGGAAGGGAACAGUAACUUUCCUGUGUAUUUGGACUGGACCUCAGAUUUCCAUUAAUUUCUGCUCUACUCAGAAGAUCUAUCUCUUCUGACAUCUUUUCUUUGAACCUAAUAGAGAAACCUGUGGCCAACAAACAGUAUCCCAUCUGAGGUUUGAGUUCUCAAAUUUGUCAUUAGAUUGACCUAGAAACAUCCCCGACAUUUUGGUCUGUCCAGACAUGGAACAUUCCUCCUGUCUCAGGCAAUUGAAUUCAAACAGGAAUUCUCUAUGAAGAUUUAUUUCAGCAAUGCCCUUUCCCAGAAUAGUCUCCUGGGACUUGGGUGGCAUCUCAGGCAGUAUCAAUGCAAUCCUCUUCCCCCAAGCUUAGGCUAACAGCUGAAGCCCUCUUUGUGCCCUGCCCUGAAUCUUAGCUCCUACUCUGUGGGCACCUUUGCUGUCAGGCCUGGCUAGCUAGCCACAGGGAGGGGAGGGACUGAGAACACAGGGGGAGGAAAAUUUGGUCUCGGACACUGGGAAUAGAUGGUGAUAGUUCUGAGACUGGAGACACAAUCUGAGGAAACGGGAUUCAAAAAAGCCAGAGUUAGCCUUGUUUGUACUUUCAUACUACCAAUUGUUGGUAUUAUAGAGCCAGAAAGGACUUUAGAGAUCUUCUCAUGGAACAGACAAGAGGCUGAGGCUUAGAGCAGGAAGGAAUGUGAUGUUUCUAAUCACUGAAUGAAUUAAUGACAGAGCCAAGACUAGAACCCAGGCCUCUUGACUCCUAAUUAGUAUACUUUCUACUUAUGGAGUAUUUAUCAGAUUGGUUUGGUUUCCUGACAUAAGACUGGAGAACAGAGAGGCAACAGCAACCUGGAGGCCUCUCCUAACCAUCAGUCUGAUACUUGUGACAGCUCAUUUCCUGUCCUAUAUUACAUGGACAUCACUGGAUCCUCGGGGAUCCUUUUACUCACUUUCUCUGCUAAACUUUCACAAAGUCCUUUAAAGCAUUUGACAGCAAUGAGACUGUUUCUACACUUGUGACUUCUGUGUACUGCCAAAGAGAUUGAAUACUAUCUUUUCAAAAAAUAUGAAGAUAUUCAGCUCACUAUGGUUAAAACUGGUUUGAUAGACACUAAAAAGCAAAAAUUUCAGUUUAGUUAAUGAUUCAAUUAAAAAAUAAAGUUUAGAGAAUAAAAAGAAUGUGGUUCAUUUCAGUUUAAGGGUUUACAGUUAGGUAUAGGUCAAGGUCUUAAUCAAGAAUUGACCUGACCCUAGUCAUGGCAAAUUAAGGACCAGUCUUGCCAAUUUUCCACCAUUGAAUUAAUCACUCUUAUCUGUAUCUGUUAUCAACAACCUUUACUUAUAGCUGAUGAUCUCCCAUUCAUGGAGGAUUGAAAAUAUCUGGUUGAAAUUACAGUCUAACUCUAAGUCAAUUCAAUUCAGCAAAUAGGUAUCCACUGUGUGAUAAGCAUUAUGCUAGUUACUACAGAUACUAAAACAAUAGCUUACAUUCUAUGGAGAAGAUAACAGCAUUCAUACACAUAAAAUACAAGUACUUUGAGGAGUGAGCAUUCACUAUGGAGAUUAGGAAAAAUUUUUACAUGGGAAAUGAUAUCUGGACUGACCCUUGGUGAAGAGCCAAGGGAUUUAAUAGAGAGAUAUGAGCAGGGAGUACAUUUACUGAUUCUUUAUUCAUGACAGGCCCACUGACUAGGUGUCUUCAUUGCUCUGUCCCUGAGCCAUUUUGCCUUUUCUAUCUACACUAUCUUGGUAAUCUUAUUAGCUCCCACGGGAUCAAUUAUCUCUAUAAAAAUGAUUGCCAUAUCUAUGUAUCCCUUAGGCAUCUCAACAUUAUCUUUUUCCCAAACUAUCCCCUCUCCUGAGUUUCUCUAUUAUUGUUGAAGGCACUUCCAGCCUCCAGGCUUAAAAUUUCUGUGUCAUCCUCUACUUAUUCUCUUUCACAAAACAUUCAUUUGAUUGCUAAAUCUUGUCAUAUCUAUCUUUACAACAUCUCUCCUAUAUAUUCCCUUGUUGUCUCUUGACUUAUUUCAUUAGCUUUUAAAUUAGUCUCCCUGCCAUAAGUCUUUCCUCACUCUAAUCCAUAUUUCAAUUGCCAGAGAGAUUUUCCUAAAUUGCAGGUCUGAUCAUGUCACUGCUUUAUUUAUUAAACUCCAGGAACUCCGUAUUAUCUCUAGGAUCAAAUGUAAAAAUCUGAGUUUUAUGUUUAAUGCUUUUCUUAAUCUAGCUCCUUCCUAUUUUUCUAAGAAUUUUUUUUUUUAACUUUUACAAAAGAGUUACUUAUCAAGAAGAUAGGGCAGAGCCAAGAUGGCAGAGAUUAGACAGCUCUUUGCCUGAACUCUUUCUGGCUUGCUUCAGAAUCAAUACCAGAUCAAGCUUCUAAAUGCAUUUUGGAGUAAUAGAACCCAAAAAUAUUUGGAAUGUAACAAAUUUCCAACAGAAGAUAUUUUGAAAGAAUUUCAGAAAGGUUUGUCUCAUUUGGGCAGGGGAAACACAACCCACUGCAGGCGCAAUGCAGGCAAGGCCCAGGGUGGAGAAGCUUCCACAUGGCAGGGGAAUCUAGUGGGAGGCUCCUAACCAAAAUACAGCAGUGUUGGCUACUCUGUCCUGGUUCAGAAGUCUGUGGAUCAGCAGACUUAGCUAUGAAAUCUCCAGCACCACUACAGAAUUGUGGUGUCCCUGAACCCUAGCAUAACAAGUGGGACUUGGCCAUGCCCACAAGAAAGAAGCCAUUGUUGCAUUGUAGAGGAAGAUUGGGACAAUUUUCCCUUUCCCCUAAGAAUAGAUUUCAACCUUUAAAAAUGAACAAAAAUACAAAAAGAGCUCUGACUAUAGAUAGCUAUUAUGGACAUAGGGAAGAACAGAACCUCAAACCCUGAGGGCACUAAAGGCAAAACAUCUUCAGAUGAAGUCUCAAAGGGUGAUAAGAGUUUGCCUUCGACUCAAAAUACUCUCUUGAAAGGAUUUUAAAAGAGAGAAGAAAAAUGGGGAAAGGAAACACAGAAAGUGUCAGAAGAAAAUAAUCCUUAAAAAAUAGAUUUGGCAAAAUGGAAAAAGAAAACUUGAAAAACAGAAUAGGUGAAAUGGAAAAAAGAGAACAACUUUAAAAAUAUGGUGAAAUGGAAAAAAAAUGCAAUGAACAAAACAACUCAUUUGAAAGUUCAAUUAGCUAAAUUCAAAAGGAGGUAGAAAAACUAACUGAAGAAAAUAAUUCACCAAAAAUUAGAGUUGAACAAAUGGAAGUGAAUGACUCAAUGAGACAUCAAGAAUCAGUUUAACAAAACAUUAAAACAUGAAGAAAUAAGAAAAUAUAAAAUACCUCAUCAGAAAAGCAACUAGCCUGGAAAAUAAAUCCAGUAGAGACAAUCUAAUAAUUAUUGGACUACUUGAAAACCAUGAUGAAAAAAAGAUCCUAGACAACAUCUUUCAAGAAAUCAAGGGAAACUGCCCUGAUGUUCUACAACCAGAGAGUAAAAUAACCAUUGAAAGAAUCCACCAAUCACCACCUGAAAGAGACCCCAAAACAAAAAUUCCAAGGAAUAUUGUAACUAGAUUCCAGAAUUAUCAGAUUGAGGGAAAAAUACUGCAAGCAGCCAGAAAGAAUUCAAAUAUCAAGGAGCCACAAUCAAGACUAUUCAGAACAUAGCAAUUUCCACUUUAAAGGAUCAAAGGAAUAUUGUAUUUUGGAGGGCAAAAGAAUCAAGUGCCCAGCAAAACUAAGCAUUAUCUUUUAAGGAAAAAGAUGGCUAUUCAAUGAAAUAGGGCAUUUCAAUUAUUUUUUGAUGAAAAGAGUAGAGCUGAACAGAGAAUUUGAUCUAUCAAGAAGAUAAAGCAAGAACAGAAAUAUAAACACAUCCUCCUGAAUCAAGGACACUCCAUAUCACCACCAUUACCACCACCACACUAGUCCCUGGGGGGAAUGAGUUCACCCUUGAGUUGAUUACUUUAGAGUAUUUGUCCCACUAAUAUCACUUCUGAAUGUGACAUGACUAAUGAGUGAAGAAGACCCUUCCUUCCAGAAACCAACAUUUUGGUGUCAAUCCUCAUCAAUCUUCUCUGUCCACAGAUUCUCGCAAAUAUAUAUUCCAGUUCCUGGAUCCCUAGUUUUCUCCUGAUCUUCUGAAGCUCACAGAGUUGUAGUCUAGUCCAUUCCAUCUCUAAUGUUCCUUCACUAGGCAGGAAAGAAUAAUGGACACAACAGGGACAGAGCAGCAGAGCCAUGUGCCUGUGGCUUCAUGUUGUUCAGGCCGGUAUGCAGGCUGCUGAUACUUGCUCUCCAUCCAGGCUUCCAUUUGUCCUUGCUUCCUUCCUUUAGGGCAUCCAGGCAGGAAAGAACCUACGGAUUAGAGUGAAGAAGUUUCCUCCUCCUAUGCUCCCUUCCAUCUACUCCACAAUCCAGCUGCUUGGCCUAAUUGCCGUUCCUCUCAUGUGUUAUAUUCCAUCUCCCAUUUCCGUGCCUUGGCAUUGGUUGCCCCCCCAUGCCUAGAAUGCUCCCUCUUCUCACCUUGGCCUCCUUGAAGUCUCAGCUCAAAUCCAACCUUCUUCAAGAACCUGUUCCCUAUUUCCCCAGCUACUAAUGCCUUGCCCUCUGAUUUUACCUUCUAUUUAUUCUGUACAUAUGCUAUAUUUACCUACAAAUUGUUUCCACCCAUUAAAAUGUAAGCUCCUUAGGUACAAGACUACAGAAACUUUUUUUUUUUUUUAAUGUUUAUAUUACUAGUGCUGAGCUUAGUAUUUGGCAUAUUGUAAAUGCUUAAUAAAUGCUUUUGGAUUAACUGAUUCUAGGCAAAUGGGUAUGAAGGUAUGAAGAUAGAAAAUGGAAUGUUGAGUUCAGAGAAUAGCUCAGAGGCCAUUUUGGCUGGAAUUAGAACAUGUGUAUAGAGGAGUAAUCUGAAAUGUUUGGAAAGGCAGGUGGGAAACGGUGGUAGAGGGCUUUCCAUAUUUGGCUGAAGAUUGCAUUUUACCCUAGAGGCAACAGGAAGUCUCUAAAGAUCUUUGAUCAGGAGAAUAACAUGUUUGGACUUCAUUUUAUUUAUUUUAUUUUCAGCUGUGUGAUGGAUGGAUUAGAGAAGGGAGAGAACUGGAGCUGAAAGCUGGAAGAUCAGUUAGGAAGCUUUUGCAGUAGUCCAAGUCAGAGAUGAUGAAUGCCUGAGCCUGGAUGAUGACCAUGUCAGUGGACAGAAGGACACUAAUGCAAGAAAUGUGGUAGCAAAAUCAAGAAGGCUAGGUAAUAGAUAUGGUGGGAGAGGGGAGAAUAAAGAAUGGCUCCAAGGUUGUGAACCCCAGGUACUGAAAGAAUGUUGUUUGUUCUCCAAGAAGACCAUGACAGCAGAGAGCAUUUGUGAUGCUGUGACAUGCAAGUGAGUUGGAUCUAAGUGAAGGUGGGCUGUGCAAGGUCACCUGUCUCAGUUUUCCCUCUAGAGCCUUCUCAGUGGUCCAAUAUGGAUCAGAAUGACUGGAGAUAGCCCUGGUUGCAUUGGGAGACUUUGCCCUCUUUAAGCUCAGGUCCUCAACAGGUCCCAGUUUGAGGCUGAAUCAUUCAGUGAUUAAGGUUGGGUAGUAAAUGAGGCAAAGUAUCUCCUCUUAAAUGUAAUAAAAAAAACAAUAACAAAUAAAUCUGGGAGAGAAAGAACCUUCAGAGUUUCUGGGCAAAACAGAAAAGACUGCUAUUUGCAUUCACUCUGAGGACCCAAACAAUGACCACUCUCUGACUCUCAUAACUUGGCCAACUAAAAGGAUGGAUGGUGGUACUAUCAAUGAAAAUAGGGAUAUUUGGAGGAGAGGUUGAAUUUUGGGAGAAUAUGUAAUUCCUGGGGCAAUUUGUUGACACAGUGGAUAAAAUGGGCCUGGAGUUAGGAAGUCAUCUUCCUGAAUUCAAAUCUGACCUCAGAUACUUACUAGCUGUGUGACCCUCUGUUGUGAUAAAUCACUUAAUAACCCUGUUUGCCUCAGUUUCCUCAUCUGUAAAAUGAACUGGAAAAGGAAACCAUUCCAACAGUUUUGCCAAGAAAACCCAAAAUGGGGUCACGAAGAGUUGGAUACAACUGAAAAACAACUGAACAACAAGUAUAAUUCCAUUUUGGACGUGAAUUUGUGGUGCUUAUGGCACAUUCAGGUGGCAAGAUGUCUGGGGUAUAUUGGUUUGGGAGCUUUGAACAGAAUGGUAAUAAAUGAAUCCACAGGAGCUGCUUUGCUAACUCAGAGAGAACUAGGAACUAAAAAGACACAUGCAGACUUACUGAUGGAUGAUGAUCCAGGGAGGGUGAAUAAGGAGGAUGGGGGAGAAUUAAAAGAAAGUAGUAUCAGGAAAGCCAAGGGAGAGAAGAGUAUCCAGGAGCUGGGGAAUGGUCAAAAUGUGCCAAAAUCUGCAGAGGUCAAAAAGCAUGAGAACAGAAAAGACCCUUGGAUUUGAUGAUUAGGAAAUUAUUGGUAAUCCUGGGAAGAGUAAUUUCAGUAGGAACUCAGAAGUACAGGCAUACUUCAGAUAUAUUGUGAGUUUAGAUCCAGAACACCACAAUAAAGUGAAUAUUGCAAUAAUGUAAGUCAUAUGAAUUCUUUUGGUUUCCUAUUGCAUAUAAAAGUUAUGUUUAUAUACUGUAGUCUAUUAAAUGUGCAAUAGUUACUAAUGUCUAAAAAUGUGCAACAAUUAAAAAUUAAUGAAAUUUAAUUUAAAAUACUCUAAAAACAUUAUUCAUGAAAAGUGCUAACCAGCAUCUGAGCUUUUAGUCAGUGGUAAUCUUUUUGCUGGUGUAGGGUCUUGCCUCAAUACUGAUGGUUUUUGAAUGAUCAAAUCGGUGGUGGUUGCAGAAAGUUGGGGUGGCUAUGGCAAUUUUUAAAAAUAACACAACAAUGAAUUUGGCUGCAUUGAUUGACUCCUUUCAUGAGAGAAUGUGCAAUGAUGUUUAAUAGCAUUUUGCCUGCAGGAAAACUUUUUUCAUAAUUGGAAUCAAUUCUCUCAAACUCUGCUACUACUUUAUCAACUAAGUUUAUGGAAUAUUCUUCAGUGUUAUAUUUCAGGGAAUAGGGAGGUCUGAGGAAAGGGGAAGAUAUAAUCAUGGCAGAUAUAAUAAUUUUAAAAAAGCUUAAAAUGCUAUAAAAAUCGCCAAAAUGUGACACAAAGUUUUUGGAAAAAUGGUGCCAAUAGACUUGCUUCAUUCAGGGUUUCUGCAGACCUUGUCUAUUAAAACAAAAAACUAACUGCAUUUUCUUUGUAGCACAAUAAAACAAGAUAUGCCUGUAUGGGCAAAGACUUUCUAGGAGUUUGACUAUGAAUGGGACAAGAAAUAAAGGACAGUCACUUAAAGCCAUGAGGUCAUAGUCUUGGUCAUAUUUCUAGGUGAUAGGAAAGGAGUCAGCAGGUUUGUGAUGUAGGGCAUAAGUUUCCAGAGGAGAUGGAAAGGGAUGAGAUCAAAGGCACAAUUAAAGGGUUUGACCAUGGCAAGAAAAAAAGAACAACUCUUGCUGAGAGAUUGGAGAAAAGAAGGAAAGACAAGAGAACCAUACAGAGAGUUUUUUUGGUGUAGAAUUGAUAAAAAGGAAGCUCGCAAUGGCUAGUCUCCAUUUAAAAAAAAAAAAGGUGAAGUAGGCAGCUAAAAUGAUUUGGAAACCAUUGGGAUGAUCUUAAGUAGCUCCCUAAUAGUCCUGGUGCUUACAUAUUAAAGUUCUACAUAUUUUAAUUUAGAGCAUUAGAAGUAGUCAGCAAAGUCCAAGUCAACCUGGACUUCUAGUUGAAGUGCCUCUCUUAGGCUACGUCACUUCUUUGAAUCUGUUUCCUGCUCUCUAAAAAAAUAGCCCUAUCUACCACCUAAGGCUUCUAAGGAUCAAAUGAGAUAAUGUAUAAAAUGUGCUUUGUAAAUCUAAAGUACUAUAUAAACACAAGCUAUUAUUUGUAUGUAAACAUUAAGCUUUAUUGCUUUAUCUUCUACCCUCCCAAAUGAUUGUGAAUUAAAUUUCCUCCAGACUAAUCUAAACCACAGUCAUUCUGUCCAUUCCAUACCUGUCUGACUGCGUCACUUAGGAAGCACUUUGACAUUUGCAAAACACUUCACAAAUACUGCUUAAUUAAAAAAGACUAAAACAAAUAUUAAUUUUAUUCCUGGAACCACCCUGGGAGGUAGAUACUAUUAUUAUCCCCAUUUUAUAGAUUAGAAAACUGAGGCCCAGAGAGAUUAAGUGAUCUCUUAGAGAUCUCUAGAGAGACUCUAUGGGCCAAGGUUUUGUGUUGAGAGCAUAAAUGUGGGUCCUUGAUUAUUUUUAAAUAUUAGAAGAGGAAAAAAGGUGCGUGGGUGAAAGAGCAGAGAAGAAGGUGACUCAAAAAAUGUAUUGUGACUCCCAGAACAAGGCCACUAGGAUUUGGGUCUAGAGUAAGGAAGACUUGAAUUCAAGACUUGCCUCAGACACUUCCUGUCCGUGUGUCCCUAGCCAAGUUACCGAACCUCUCUCUGCCUCAGUUUCUUCAUCUAUAAAAUGAGGAUAAUUAUAGGACCUACUUCCCAAGGUUGCUUUGAGAAUAAAAUAAUACUUGCAGAGUGUUUUGCUAACCUUAAAAGGCUGUGUAAAUACAGCAAGGUAGCAGUCAGCUGCAUUGAUAGUGCUCGAGCAUGGUUUAAAAAAAAAAAAAAAGGUUCAGAGAGUUUGGCCUGGAGGAAAACUUACAUUGUACUGAAGUUCACAAACAGGCUGUUUGAAGGGUAGAGGGUUUAAUAAAUGCAUUCUCUAGGUGUUGGAAACACAUCAGACAUCUUCGGGGCCCCAGGGGACAUGAAAUAAAGAGAAAAGAAAAAAGGAGUUUGGAACAGUCUUGACACUCCAUUACUAGCCAUGCAACCUUGGACUUUCCUCAGUUUCCUUAUCUGUAAAAUGAAGGGGUUGUACUGGAGGGUUUCUAAAGGUCAUUUCAGCUUUAGUAGUGUUGUUUAGAUGUGACCUGUGACCCUCAAAAUGCUCUAGGCUUUCACAGACCAUGUUGGAUCCUAGGGGCCUAACCAAGAAUAUCCGCUUCUCUCUUUGGCUUGUUAUAUUAUCACCUCAGAAUUUAUUCCAGGGAAAUCUUAGGUUUCCAGAAGCAGGUCCAAUCAUCUGCUGCUGCCUGUCUUCUGAAGUGGGCAAAAGGGAAAAGGUCAAGAGAUGGCUGCUGUUCUCCUUUAAAGGAGGCCUUGCCCCAAAUGGCAUUUCCUACAGCCAUGAAAAGGUGGCCUCCCACAUCCCAGUCAGCCUCUCCUAGUGAGGCACUCCCAAGAGAUGAAAAAUGGAUGGAGUUUUCUGUGGGAUCUCAGCAAAGCCGCAGGAAUCCACAGCCAUAUUCUGUGGGAAGGUGCUCCCAAAUGCCCCCAACAGAAUUACCCAUUUUUGUUGUCGUUGGUCAGUCAUUUCAGUCAUGUUCCGACUCUUCAUAAUCCCAAUUGGGGUUUUCUUGGCAAAGAUACUGGAGUGGCUUACUAUUUCCUUCUCUAGUUUAUUUUACAGAUGAGGAAACUGAGUCAGACAAGGUCAAGCCCUAGGUCACACAGCUAAAGUAAUCUAAAGCUGGAUUUGAACUCAGAUCUUUCUGACUCCAGGCUCAGUAUUGUAUCUGCUGUGCCACCUGGAUGUUCCAAAUUACCCACACAUAUCCUUUAAUCCCAUCCAGUUGAUCAGGGAGCUAAUCUCCUUGGGGGGUAACCCUGAAGUGAGUGGGAAAGCUAUCAUCAAUAAAGAAAUCGAAAAGGGACUUAUUUCCUCUCUCCUUCCCCAGUUUGGGGGACCAGGCUUAUGGGGUGGGAGCCAGAUCCUUCCAAUCAGAAAGAGACAAAAAUUAAGGCUUUGAGAGAACUUCUACAGACUUGGGCAGUCUGGCACAGGGCUGAUUCCAGAAAACCACGGCUUCAAAUUAUCCAACAGCGUGCCCUGGUGGGGAAAGCUUGUGAGCCUGCCUUGCCUGGAACUUUCCCCAGAAGAAAUGUCAGAUGUGGUAGGGGAGUAGGGAGCGGGCUAGUUCCCUGCCUUUUUACUCCCCAUCACCUUUUCACCCUAUUUAUUCCCUAUCCUGACCCUGGAAGGAGCAAAAGUUUGAAUAUAGUCACAAUACAAAUAUGACAAUGAGAUCUCUGAAAAGUCCCCUUUAUACACUUUUUGCAUCAGAAAGUAAAACUGUAUAAUUAGAGGACCUGUGGUUUAAUCCUGGUGAUACCAUUUGCUAGCCGUGUGAUCUUGGGCAAGUCACUGACCUCCCUUGGUUUCCUCAUCUGGAAGGGGCUCAGACUAGAUAGCUCUCUCUAAGGUCUCCUUCUAGCUAGAAAAGUUGUGGUUCCAUGAUCCUUCUGAAACUGGGGAAGGGGGAGGUUUGAAAUGAACAUACUUGGCCUCUAGGCAUUGAGGCCCAGCAGAGCCACUUUGACCCAAUGAUCACACUCCUAGGAAUACAUGAAGAGGAUUUAUUAGCAGGGGGAGAAAAAAACCUCUCUGCAAUCAAGUAUUCAGGCCCACGCCGCUUCAUUCUGUGCAACUCUUUUUUUGUGUAUUUGAUUUAUUUAAUAUUUUCCCGGUUACAUUUAAAGCAAUUUUUUUUUUUUUACAUUUAAAAAAUUUUGAGUUCUAGGUUCGUUUAUCUCCACCCAAAAUUAAGAAACCACAUGUGAAGUUAUACAGAACAAUUCUGUGCUACUCUUGUCAAUGCCUCCCAUAAAUUCUUCCAAGGGGAUCUCCUAGGGAUGAUCUUUUACUCCCUCUUUACAUUAUACUGGUACCAUUGUAGCUCAUGGAGUGGGAUGGGAUCAUUCCCAACCCCCUCGUUUUAAUAAAUGAGGAAAUAGACUUAGAGCAGUAAUUUGCUCUCCUCCUUCCUCUGGACUUUAGCUUCCUUGUGAAGGUAAUAGAAUGCUAUUGUCUCUAAGAAAAAUCAGAGAUGAAGGCUAUAAUUAUGAGAAGACUUGUGUAAAAUGAAACUUACUAGAAAAAGCAGAACCCCAAGUAUACAUAUGCUGACAGCGUCUCAGUAGAUAAUAAAGGCAGCAGCAAGAAGAACCCUGUAAUAGAGGCUUAGAAGGACUCCCAGAAAAAAGUUUUUUUUUUUUUUUUAUUACCUUAUACACACCUCUAAAAAACUGUAAAUCCAAGAAACUACUUGUUUAUUUGUUUCAUUCGUGUCUGGCUUUUCAUGGCCCUAUUUAGAUACUGGAAUGGUUUUGAAAAAGCCUUCAAUGUUGCACAUGGUUAGCAGAGAGAAACUGAAGAAUUGGUUAAAUUGAUCCCUAGGUAUAGGCAAGAAAAAGGCACUGACAGAGAUAGUUGUCCCACUCUCUGGGGAGGUCCUCCAGGCAGAAAUCCAAGUUAUGUUAAGGCCCACCCUCUGUGGGGACCUCAGGCAGCCUUACCUUGCCAUGUCCUGUCAGAAAUCCGAGAGUCAUGUUCUUUGAGGUUAAACUCUCCCUAUGAAAUCUACUUAUGGCCCAAGGCUUUGUAGCUGCCUUCCUUGGGCAGCUGGUACUCUGCCUUGGUGUGUCUUUCUCCUUUACCCCUCCCUCAUGCCAUGUGGUAUCUCUCCUGACCCCCACUUCUCCUCCUUACAGCUAACUAACUCUUUUGGGGGGCUAAGUCCCUCUCAGGAUUUAGCCCACUAGCUAAAGACAUGUUCCAGUCACAUGGGGCUCCCUUUCCACUGAGUAAUUGUGAGUUCCACUGAGGAACUUGUCUUUCAUCCACUCUCCCACUCUAUUUCCUAUUUACCAUUCCUGGUGUCUAUUGUACCUCUUUGUUUUGUCUUUAACCUCUUCCCCUUUGGCCAAAGAGAAUGGUCAUUGUGAGUUCUUCAUGGACAGAACCCCAACUUUUGGUGCCUACUGUCGUCCGGUGAGUCCAUCAGCCACACCAGUUUGCUGUUUCUUUUUCCAGCUCAUUUGACAGAUGAAAAAAAAGGGGCUUCGUGAUUUGCCCAGGGUCACUCAGACAGCAGGUGCCCAAGUUCACACUUGGGUUCAGAAAGAAGAGAUUCCUGACUCAAAACUGCCCUUAGCUCAGAGUUUCCUGUAUAAUUGUUUUUCUUGUUUGCACAUUUACAUAUGUGUUGGGUAGAAUUUAAAAAAAUAAUUAGUAGUUGUCAUGUCUGUGAUUUCUUCCUCCCACACAGAGCACAAGCUAUUCUCUUGCCUUUUCUGAUGUCCCAUAUAGGGAGCACUGUGGUGCUCCUGGAUAGAUUUUACCAUCUAUUCCCUAGGUGGUGAGCCAGGAAGAGAGUGUGUAUCUCUUCUUCUCCCUUUUUCCCUCUUUCCCUUCCUCCUUCCCUCCCUCCCUCCCUCCUUUCUUCUCUCCCUCCCUUCCUCCUUUUUCUUCCUUCUUUCCUUCCUUCCUUCCUUCCUUCCUUCCUUCCUUCCUUCCUUCCUUCCUUCCUUCCUUCCUUCCUUCCUUCCUUCCUUCCUUCCUUCCUUCCUUCCUUUCCUAUUUUUUCCUUCUUCUCUGUCCUUAUCUAUCUCUCUGUUUCUCACUCUGUUACUGUUCCUGACUCUUUAUCUACAGAAUUGGGGUAUGUGUUUGAAGUGGUGUUUGUACUCCCAUUGGCUAUGUAUUUAAACUCUAUUUGGCUGUGUGGUGCAUUGGAGUAGGGAGAAGGGUGCAGCCAUGGGGAGUGCUGAAUUCCUCCCAACUCCUUCUCUGCCCUUUUCCCAGCUCAUUAAACAUAACCAACUACUGCAGGUGGCAUUAAUGAGAAACUCUCCUUCAAUCCUCUCCCUUUUCCUUAUCUGACAUUGCACUCUCCUGAAGCUCUCCCAGAUUUAUCUCCUUCUCACCCAGCUCUGCCCUCUCCCAUUAGCUUCUUUAGUGGGCAGACCUGGGGGAAGGAACAAAUUGCUAAGAGAUUAUAGUAAAAAAAAAAAAAAAAUGGGAGGCACACAUCACAUAUCACACUCCACAUAAAAGCAGUCACACAAAAAUGACAGUCUCCACAAAAAUGACAGUAGUAUACAUGCUACAUAAUACACUAUAAGCAAGAUAUACAAUAAUAAUAGCAUUUGCAUAGCACCUUUAGAUUUGCAAUAUGCUUUAGAUGUUAGCUAAUGUGAUCCUCAAGAUAAUUUUGUGAUGUCAGUGCUACUUUUAUCUCCUUUUUACAAAUGAGGAAUCAAGAGGCAUAAAAAUAUUGUCCAGUUGCAUAGCUAGCAAAUUUCUGAGGCAAUGUGACGCCUUUCUGCCUAGGCAAUAUUACCUGUUCCACCACACAAUUUCCAUAUACAUAGGUAAUGCUUCCCUAUUAUUCUGCCCAUAUGCACACAAGGUCACUCUCAUACUCUGUCUCCUUUGCCACUGACCCAGGACAUUUGUACUACAUGCAAGCAGUUGUCCCUUUUUAUAUUCUAUACUUUCUAAUUAUGAUUACUUAUAGAUUCCAAAGGACAUAGAAGAGAAACUAGGCACAAGGCACACAGACAUCAGACUAGCCUGUGAUCUCAGAAUAGUGGCAAAGGUGUUUCAAGAACUUAGGGCUCUGAAUCAGAAAAUCUGGCUUUAAGUUCUUAACACUUACCUUGUGUGACUUUGGGAAAGUAAUUUUUUCUCUGGGUCUCUUGGAAGCGGCAAGAUGAUAUCUCAGGUUCCUUCUAGCUCUGACAUGAUUCUGUGAGGGCAGAGAAGAGAAUGGGGUCUGGGCCUGUCAUUAUUCUACAGUCUCACAUCUGAAAAAAAUUGGUGUUCGAACCCAUGAUCUCUAAGGGCUCUCCAGCUCUGAAUCUAAGAGAGGUCCAUGCAUGGUGCUGGGGAUGUGACUAGCCUUGCCAUAAAGCGAGACUUACUGGUGGGGGAACCCAGCCCAGGCCAGUCUCCUGCCCCUGAAGCUCCUACUCAGCUUUUCUGGAGCUCCAGGGAUGGAGGAGGGAGGCAGGGAAGGGGAUGGGGGAGAGAAGGAGGGCAGGGGACUGGAGUGCCCCAAAGGAGGCUGCAGAGAGGGAAGGGAAAGGAAAACCUGGGGCCUUGGGAGGAAGCUGGGGGAUGGUGGUGGGUCAGGAGGUGAGUGUGCUCGGGGCAGGAAGCAUAAAUCCCAGAGAAUUCAGCCUGCGUGAGGGAGAAUUUAUGCGGCACCUUUGCCAAGCCUCUGAGGCAGCAGUGUUCUUGUACUGAUGGAUGGUUGGUCCUGGGUAUGUUGAGGGGAGGCGGGGUAGGUCGGCAGUUAUCCCCCCCGCCAUUUCACUCAUUUCCCUCCCCCAGCCCUGCGCAAGGACAGCCAGAAAGACUCAAUCCUUCAGGAAAGGCUCAGCUCAGGUUGUUCACAGGUCCUGUUUCUGAAAGUGGACUGGAAUCCAGGUGGCAUGGGGCUAUUAUCCAUGGGAGUCCUGUGAAAGGCACUGGAAGGCCAGGGGAAUGGGACAGCUUUAGCACCAGAGAUUUAGAGCCGUGAGUUCAUGCCAGGGAUGGCCUGAUCAGAGAUAUGGAGAGAACAAACGUCUGGCCUUCUUUCCAUAAAUAAUCGUAAUGUCGCCAGCUUCAGCUUGCUGGUACCCUUGGAGGCCCCCUGGCUGGGUUUGGGACAUCACUGUUGUCACUGCUAGAUUUGGAGUAGAGGGGGAGUCUAUAAGAUGAUAAUAUUUAGAACUGGAAAAGACCUUAAUGGAUCAUCUCAUUUAAUCAUAUUUUACGAAUGUGUAGAAAAACUAAGAUCAAGGAGUUUAAAAUUCUUCACUCCAAAAAAUAAUCAGUGAUGGAGCACAAACCCAGGUAUUCUGAUCCCAAGUUUAGACUUAGCUCUCACCAAAUCCUACACAGCAGAAUGCAGCUGUCAGUAAGGGAGAGCUCUGAAACUCUGAAACUCAGGCACUGGGCAAAUCACUUCUCUGGCUUUCGGUGUCCUCCUUAAUAAAAUGAAGGCUAUGGACUCAGUGACCUUUAAGGUCCCUUUCAGAUCUCUAGUGAGAUGAAUAAAAAGAGAGACAGAGUUUCUGAGUAAUUAAUAAUCACUUAGGUUCAGUGGUUUCUAUCAAUAACUAAAGGCACCUAAUGGUGACACUGAAUGACACUGAAUGACUUAAUGUUUUUGUUUGUUUGUUUGUUUUUUGAAAAGGACAGCUCCUGACAGGAGAAAUCAACUCUGCUGAACAAUGAACAAAGGAGUGGGCAUUUAAAUCAUGAAACUUAGUCUCAUCCAGCAAUCUGGAGAGGUGACUAUCUCUACCCAGACCCCUCUGGUUAGUGCUCUCCUUCAAGAGUUGGAUCCCCCUAAACUCUAAGGAAUAGUGCAAGAGCAUAGACUUAAAUGCUUUAGGGUUGGAAUUCAUCUAGAUUAGGUUCUUUUUACAUUCUAGACGAGGUCUUUCCCAAGAUCUAUCAACAUGUUCCUGGAGAAUGUGGUCAGUCUCAUCUAUCAACCUUGUCUUUCAGAGACUGGCUGAUUCACCAAAAGGGUUGGUUUCUGAAUGAAAAAUAAAGAGAAAAGGCUUUAAUCCUAAUUUAGUAAUUAGUUAUUGAUAUAACAGAAAAAGAUUUCCUUCACUAGCUAUGUUUCUGUACUGAUAAAAAGGACUCAGCUGGGAUAAGGGGGAAUAUUGGGGACUUAAAGUGAAGAAAAUGUGUAGCACCUACAAUAAAGAAUGUUUUAGAGACUCACAGUUUCAAUAAAAGGACUAUGGGGUAAUGGUGAGAACCCAAACUCUAUGUCUUGCUUAGGAAUUGAGUAACUGCAUGGUACUGACAGGUAGAAACAACUGAACUUAACACUCUGUUAGAAUAAUUGGUUAAAAUAGGAAGCUAUGGUUAGUUUUGUUGAAUUGCUUUUUUCCCUCUUUCUUUUUUAAUCUUUGUAAUAAAAGGACAGCUGGCUGGAGAGGGGAGUAGGGAAAGAUAUAUUUGAAAUGGAACAUGAUGACAAAGCAAAAGACAACAAUAAAUUAAAUUUUUAAAAAAUGAGAAAAUAGGAAACCAGAUGAGCUCUUUCUUCUGGGGGGAAGGGAGAAAAAUACCACCCCAAGUGAUUGUCCAUGUACUGAUGUCUUUGGGGUUCAACAUCAAAUGAUAAGAUUGAUAUUCAGGCAUCAAACAAGAUUUAGGAGAGCAAUUGGCACCAAAUGUUAGGGUUCAAUCAUGUGAUGAAUUCACAAUAGUCAUUCACUUCAGCAAAAGUAAAUUUAUUUAGAAGAGGUUACAGACAAAAUGAAGAGAUACAAUAAAUACAUUGAGGAUACAAGAGGAAUGGUAAAGGUGAACUAGAUUUGGGAGAGCAUAUUGUUAGCAAGGAAGGGAUUUUAACAAUUAACAACGGAAAGGACAAGUUCCCUAGUGGAACUCACAAUUAACCAGGAGAAAGGGAAUAUUCCAUGAGGUUGGAGUAUGCCCUUAGCAUAAAUUCAUAGAGUUUAGCACACUAGAAGAGUUAAUUAGCUGCAAGGAGGACACUAUGAGG
ensembl:lncRNA